AAUGAUCUCUAGCUGGUCCGUAUUAAGCCCAUUUGGGUCAUCCCGCUAGGCACUGAUCAAUUCGAAAGCCAUAAAUUUCUUCUAGCCUUCUAGGGUUUAAGAGUUUUUGAAUGAACCAACAGAAAUGGCGUCGAAUUGUGCCAGAAAUAUAGUCAACCGAUCCAUUUCUUCGGCAAAAACUCUGUUAUGUCGCGCCUAAUCAUCGCAAUCCGUUUGCCUCGGGUUCGAAUUUCAGUGGACUCGCGCCCACCAAUCUCUCCCAGUCUCCCUGUCACUUCGCCGCCGCCUCUUCUCCUCCCACCAGGCUACCGUUUGAGGUAGGAUGUGGUGAACCUUUGAUGCCUCUGCAUUCGGCGACCGCGUCCGCAUUGCUGAAGUCGAUGUUAUCUUCCAAGGUCGGCCGGUGGGGUUUUCUAUCUGAAGGCUUUACUACGCCGCUAUAACAGGGCUUUUUGGAAUCCUCAACCAUAGCAAAGAUGUGAAGACCCCCAUCGUUCCAACUUCCAACGGUUACACCAAAAUGGUUAUAUUGUUAGUAGAUUAUAUUCUGCCUUGUUCCUUAAUUCAAAAUGUUAUGGCUCCAGAAUUUAUGUUGCGAUGGAGAGCAUCAUUAGGUCAUUGUUUCUGCUGUUAUGCACUCACUUCUCCUUGCUCUAUUCAACCAUGUUGGGUGGUUGGCUCGGUAGAUUUCUCGACAGAUUUUUGCUUGUUACUGGAGAUGCUGUGGGAAUUGAUUUUUUAGGUGCUCUAGAGGUCUUGGAGCCAUGGGUUUUGACAGACAGCAGGCUGUUCUCCUUAUUACUUCGUGCAACCUUUGUUCUCUCCCUUUCAUUUUAGCAAGAAGGAUGAGCAUAAUGGAAUGGCAGUGUUGCUGUAACUAUUAGUUGUACAUAUGUUGCUAGUGUUGUCCUACUGCAGGGCGCUAUUUGCAUCUUGUAGCAAGCUGUGCAAAAUUGGCUAAUCCAGAUCUCAGAUGUUCAUCUUUAUGAUGUUUCUCAUCUUGUGUUGGAGUACUCAAGAUGUAGUCGAAAGAUCAUUUCUGCUCACUAUCCAAAAAAACCUUGUUCAGCCCAGUAGUCAAUAUGACAAGCUCAAUACCUUGCUAGGAGUCUUUGGAUUUGAUUUGGUGACAUAAGUACACGGACACCAUCAUGAAAAAAUGCUACAUGAGAUCAUUUUAGUGCAGAAAUCCUAUAUGUCAACUGUGGACGGUACUUUUCUCGCUUUCUUCACUCCUCAGUUCUUCUACUCUGUAUUGCCUGGAAACCACAGCAUGUAAGUGAUCCUCAAGACCAUUUUUCUCUUUAACAUCAAGGACUAAAUAGAAAUAGGAAAAAGUUUAAGACGUCUCACCUUCUCUGAGAAAUUGCAAGUCUUUCAUUUGCAGCUGUACAGCUUCUUUCGCCCCACUGCCGGGAAGACAGCAUUAAGGAUGAUGGAUAGCAGUUCCUCGUCUUCCUUGUCUAUAAGAUCCCUCCCGAAGCAGCACACAUAAAUGGCUUCUAGAGCUUUCUCAGCUCGAAUUUCCAUCGGGAUCGUUGGGACCGGAGCUCUCAGCUUGGCUCGCCUCUGCAAGUGAACAUUAUAAGGUGCAAUGUCUAUUUGUAACAGAAGAUCUAGAAAGUAGAUCGCAAAGGAAUCGAGCUAUACUCAACCAACCUCUCUUGAAUCAUUCAUCAUAGCAAUGAAAUUCUCCUCCUCAAACUCAAUAUCAUCCGAAAUCCGAAGCCUGGCAACUCCUUCCAAUAUUUCCUCAGAUUUGAGCAGACCAGCACCAACUGCAGCUAGCCAACAACAUAGCAGCACAUACAGAGGAUCCCCUGGCUACACACAAA